UGGGGAAUAUUGCACAAUGGGCGAAAGCCUGAUGCAGCAACGCCGCGUGAGUGAUGAAGGUCUUCGGAUUGUAAAGCUCUGUCUUUUGGGACGAUAAUGACGGUACCAAAGGAGGAAGCCACGGCUAACUACGUGCCAGCAGCCGCGUAGUAAUACUAGGUGGCGAGCGUUGUCCGGAUUUACUGGGCGUAAAGGGUGCGUAGGCGGAUGUUUAAGUGAGAUGUGAAAUACCCGGGCUUAACUUGGGUGCUGCAUUUCAAACUGGAUAUCUAGAGUGCAGGAGAGGAGAAUGGAAUUCCUAGUGUAGCGGUGAAAUGCGUAGAGAUUAGGAAGAACACCAGUGGCGAAGGCGAUUCUCUGGACUGUAACUGACGCUGAGGCACGAAAGCGUGGGUAGCAAACAGGAUUAGAUACCCUGGUAGUCCACGCCGUAAACGAUGAGUACUAGGUGUAGGAGGUAUCGACCCCUUCUGUGCCGCAGUAAACACAUUAAGUACUCCGCCUGGGAAGUACGAUCGCAAGAUUAAAAC
rnacentral:rRNA from 1 species